ensembl:lincRNA
UGAAGAAUGAAAGAGAGUUGGGGAAGUAGAGAGGAGGCAGGUCUAUGGAAGGUCUAAGUUGUUUGUUUAGUUCAGGAUGAAAGAGACUUGAAUACGUGGAAACACAGGAAGGAGCCAUGGGAAGGAGCCAGGAGAGAGAGAGCUGUUGAAGACUGAAGAUACUGAUAGUAUGUUUGGUGUGGUGUGGGGUAAGUCGACUGUGUGUGUGUUGUGUGUUGUAUCUGUGGGCAGGGAUCUUGGCUGUACCCAAAGAGAAAUCUAGAACUGACCUAUCAGGUUAUGUGGGGCUGGCUCUCGGAAGUGUAUUUGCAUGAGUAUUUGCGUAGAGAAUGGGGCUGCCAGGAGGGAGUUGUAUGCAGGGAUGCCUGUGAAGUAGAUUGGUAGAGAAAGGACAGUGAAGAGAAUAAGGACAAUGGUCACCACUGGCUGCUCCUCAGCCUAGCCCCAUGGAGAGAGGGGCUAGACCCAUAAGCCCAGCAGCCUGGUUUUAAGAGGCUUUGUCAUAUUUCGUGGGGUUUAGGCAUAACUAGUGCCACAUUCAGGCCCAAGUGACACUGAAUUGGGAAGAGAAAUGUUUCCUCCACUUCUCCCUGGAGCUCAGCACAGCUUAGUCACAGUGAGGGCUCAGGGGCUGGCUCCUGUCCAGCGUCAGUUGAGAGGACAGUAGAUCCAGGAAGCAGGACUCUAGACCAGGGCAUCUACAGCUGCAGAGGUCAGGGUGCUCUGAGACAAGGAUGAGAUGAAUCCUCACAGGCUUAGGGAAAGCAGACACUGAGGAGGAGGCCAGACACAGACAUCAUGAGAGGACUGUGCAGCAGCUCACUGGAGCAUCUCAGGCACCCAAGGAACUCGUGGAAACAACUGUGCAAGGCCCGGGUGGAGGAAUAGAGAACCUGCAGUUUUUCUGGAAGAGGGCAGGUGGCUUAAAAUGAAUUGUCAGCUGCUGGGAGCCAUGUGGGUCCUAUGGAAGCUUCUCCAACAGCCUCAGGGCAGCAGCAGCAGCACCCAGAGUAGCUCUUGUUCCUCUACGAAACCUCCUCAAAAAGGUACCAUGGCCAUGAAUAAAGCAUUCAAGACAGUCACCUUCCAGGAGGGUCCCACGAGGAGAAAUGAGGGGAAGAACACAAGAAAGGCUUUGUCUGACUACAGGGAACAAUUCAUUGGCAGAAAUUGCCCUGAGAUUGACUCCCCAUUGCCUUGGGUCCCGAGGUCCUGGGAGAGAAAAGAUAUAUUCUGGAAAAGAAGAGGAGGAGGAAGAAGAAUGACUGUAAAGGAAGGAGCAGUACUGUUUUCAUGA